rnacentral:misc_RNA from 1 species
GAUGAAGAACGUAGCGAAAUGCGAUAAGUAAUGUGAAUUGCAGAAUUCAGUGAAUCAUCGAAUCUUUGAACGCACAUUGCGCCCGCCAGUAUUCUGGCGGGCAUGCCUGUCUGAGCGUCAUUUCAACCCUCAAGCAACUUCUGCUUGGUGUUGGGGAUCGGCCGUCAAACGCCGCCCCCGAAAUCUAUUGGCGAUCUCGCUGUAGCUUCCUAUGCGUAGUAGUAACAUCUCGCAUCUGGAGAGCGGCGCGGUCAUGCCGUAAAACACCCAACUUCUGAAUGUUGACCUCGAAUCAGGUAGGAAUACCCGCUGAACUUAAGCAUAUCAAUAAGCGGAGGA